UGGCUGAUAUAGCUCAGUCAGUAGAGCAUGGAACUCUUAAUCUCAGGGCUGUGGGUUCGAGCCCCAUGUCAGACAA